AAGUUCCAGGGCCUGCACUGGGGCCAAGGUGGGGGGUAGGGGGGUAGGAGGAAGACUCGGGGUAGGAAUGGCGGCUCAAAUUCCAAUUGUGGCCACCACUUCCACUCCGGGGAUAGCCCGGAACAGCAAGAAGAGGCCGGCCAGUCCUUUCCACAACGGCAGCAGCGCCGGGGGCUAUACCGCCAGUAAGAAGAAAAAGGUGUCCGCCUCUGGCUUUGCGCAGGGUAUCAGCAUGGAAGGCGUGAGUGAGAAUAAAAUGGUGCCCUCUGAUUUUAGCACAGGACCUCUUGAAAAAGCUGCCAAACCUUUGCCAUUUAAGGAUCCCAACUUUGUGCACUCUGGCCAUGGUGGCGCAGCGGCUGGCAAGAAGAAUCGAACCUGGAAGAACCUGAAACAGAUUCUGGCUUCUGAAAGGGCACUGCCAUGGCAACUGAACGAUCCUAACUACUUCAGUAUUGAUGCUCCUCCAUCCUUUAAACCAGCUAAGAAGUAUUCUGAUGUUUCAGGUCUUCUUGCCAGCUACACUGACCCCCAGAGCAAGCUGCGCUUCAGCACCAUCGAAGAGUUUUCCUACAUUCGGCGGCUGCCGUCCGACGUGGUCACGGGCUAUCUGGCCCUGAGGAAGGCCACGAGCAUCGUUCCCUGAGCCUGGAGAAACGGAGCCUGAAGUGGAAAACUGUUUCAAAGGAACCGUACUUUGAAACCCACUGCUGACACGGAAGUUCUCUGCAGGAGCAGAGGCUGCUUCCUGGGUUCCCACUCUCGCUCCUGCGUCCCCUGCCUGCACUCAGCCUAGGAAACCCCCAUGGAGCGAGCCUUCCUUGCCAGCCCUUAUUUUGGCCAGAGAGCUGAGUUCUGAAGGUCAGGUCACUUCUCUCACCCCAAGCAACAGGGAUCCAGGCUGAGCCAAACUAAGCUUCGAGCUGUGAGCAGCUCCAAGAAGGAGUCCUCCCACAGCUUCUGAACAGGCAGCUCUGUUCCUGCCUGACCUCACUUCCUGUCUGGAUGUUUUCAGUGUCCUCUUAGGUGCUCUUUCCAACAGUCUGACCCCCACCCCUCUGCUUUCCCCUCUGCUGUCAGAGGGCCUUUCCACAACUUUGGGUGAACUUGACUUUGCCCAUCACGGCACAUCCACUGGUGAUUUGUCUGAGAUACCUUGUCAUUUCUGGUGCUGACCUGUAGUAUCCAAAGGAUGAACUCGGUCCUUUAAAAGAGAAGACAGUUGAAAAACCAGAUUGUUUUCAUGAGACCAAACUGAGGUCCAAUCUGCUCUGAGUGGAGUUUGACUCUUUCCCAAUAUCUGAUACUUGUCUUUAAUAGGAAGAAAGCAGUCUACUAUUGGGAACAGUUUAGAACUAACUACCUGUAAUGUUGGACAAAUGCUUUCGAGAGCUGAGGGCAGUCUGUGUGGAUGAGAAAGACCCAUUUUGUCCCCAUCUCCCAAGUUAAAGCACGCAUCCAUCUGGAUUUUGAAUGUGUUUUGUAAUUGGGCUAAAAGUAUUUUCAAUGAGAGAUGACUCACUUCUGAAUCCAUGGCCAUCAGAAAGCAAUACCAGAUACUUGAUGCUGUUUCCAGCAACCUAUAACUGCGAGUUGGGAAUGCUUAACUUAGCAAAAACAAAAGGUAAGGAAAGAAACUGCUGGAGUACAGAGUAAAGAAACCAGAACAAAGAGGACAGAUACCUUGGGAAGAGACUGAAAAUGAUGUCCUCUUGCAAAUGCAUGAAAUGAUUAGUGACCUUUAAAAUAAUGUUCUAUCUGGUAGGAAUGUG